AUCUCUUCUUAAAAGAAGUUUUUGUGGCAUUCUUGUGGACAAAGACUUUAUAAACAGUGCAAACAAUAAAUGUUCUUUUGCAACCCAGAACUUGUUGUUCAGUAUGUUUUGAUACAUAUAAGAAGAAAUACU
ensembl:snoRNA